AGCCUUUGGGGAGCCACUAACUCCAAUCUUCUACAGACCCCUCACUGAAGCAUGAGUCCCGGGAAUCCUUCUCCAAAGCUUCGAUCAAAUAAGCCUCGGAAACUGCAGCUCUGUUCCCACAAAGCAGUUGUUGUCAGAGUCAUUCAUGGUGUCUCAGGCCUGACCAUGCUCACAGGCUACUGAAGAUUAAUUUUGCCAGGAUCCACGCCGAAUGCCGGGAAACAAGGCUGCAAAUUGAGACCUACACUGGGACCGAGAGGCAAGCCAGCUUGAGAGCAGCAGUCCAGGGCUGAAUUUAGGAGGGGGAGAAUUCCUAAAGAACUCAAGUUCAAUCAAGCUAAGAAUUAAAAUUAACCAUCACACACAAGACUUCUAUUGUUCCUUCUCUUAGCACUAUCAUCACAUGAAGGUUUUACCUCAAAAGAUGCAAGAGCACAAAGUGUUCAACAAUAGAUAUCCCGCUUGAGAGCCCUUGCACUUACACUUCUCCGGUCUCUCUCAGCUUCUGGAGCUACGGCCCGUCUGCACACGUCUGUCUCCCUCUGCCCAGCCCAGCUCCGCAGAUUAACACUGCUGUUACCUUUGGUCAGAGGAGCUUCUUUUCAUUCACUGGGCAGCAUCCACUGCUUGAAGUUCUGCAAAUAAGCUGCUGUUUGAUGCUGAGCUCUGGAGGACGCAUCUACAUCAAUCCCUCUGAAGUCUGAAGAAAAUUUCAGACAAGAGGCGGGAGGAGAAAACAGCCUGAGCAUGGCGCACACUGUUUGGAACUGCUACACCAGCUGCGGUCGCUGCACUGGAUGUGUGAGAGAUUGGGCCCAUCAACACUGUCCUAAAGGCAGGAGGGACUCAUAACGGCCCCCAGGCAAUUAGCGGUUGCUAAGGGAGGCAGAGUCAUUUUCUUCAGGGGUGUAGGCACUAGUAAGGGGCAAUGUUCCUGUAAGCUAUUCGAGCCAAACUUACUGAGUCAUCAAGAAAAACACAAAGCAAAAGGAGAAUAUGAAAGUAGAACAGAGUAGGGGCACUCAUGGGAAGAGGAAGGUGAGCAGCAGAAGUGGGAGGGGCCAAGAGAUCACACUGAAAGGUGAUGGUGACAGAUAUGAUCAAAUAUAUCAUGUAUGUAUGAAAACGUCAUAAUAA